rnacentral:lncRNA from 1 species
GGCUGGAGGGGCUGGAGUGCAGAGAGCCACCAUCAGAGAGCAGCAAAGCCAGCUCUCCUUGGAGUGAGAUGGGGAACCCUCAGAGAGCCAGGAACAGGGGAGCGUGUUAUUUUAUAUUUUAUUUUAUUUUAUUUUUAUUUUAUUUUAUUUUAUUUUAUUUUAUUUUAUUUUAUUUUAUUUUAUUUUAUUUUAUUUUAUUUUUGAGACAGGGUCUCUGUUGUUCAGGCUGGAGUGCAGUGCUAUCUCAACUCACUGCAACUUCUGCCUCCCAGGUUCAAGUGAUUCUUAUGCCUCAGCCUCCCGAGCAGCUGGGAUUACAGGCACCUGCCACCACGCCCACCUUUGUAUUUUUAGUAGAGACGGGGUUUCGCCAUGUUGGCCAGGCUGGUCUGGAACUCCCGGCCUCAAGUGAUCACCCGCCCUGGCCUCCCAAAGUGCUGGGAUUACAGGGUGAGCCACUGCACCAGCUGAUUUCUGUUUUCAGUAUCUCUCUGCUGUGGUGUGGGCCACUGCCCCGGCUGAUUUCUGUUAUCUCUCUGCUGUGGUGUGGGCCACUGCCCCGGCUGAUUUCUGUUUUCAGUAUCUCUCUGCUGUGGUGUGGGCCACUGCACCGGCUGAUUUCUGUUUUCAGUAUCUCUCUGCUGUGGUGUGGGCCACUGCACCGGCUGAUUUCUGUUUUCAGUAUCUCUCUGCUGUGGUGUGGGAAAUAUUGUAGAUGGAAGGGUCGAGAAAGAAACCUAGGAGGCCAGUGGAGAAGCCACUGCAAUGGCCAAGUUCAAAAUGAUGGUGACCAGGAUGGCAGCAGCAGAGACAGUGAGAAGUGA